CAUUUACUCAUAAGUUGUUUUAUUUAAUUUAUGAAAAAAAUCUAAAAUUAAUUUUGCUAUUUUUCCUUCGUGCCUCAACAUCAGUUCCUCUUCAUUCUCGCCGGAAUCACUUGCAACUCUCUGUUGCAUCCUUAUGCAGUGCCACCGUUCCACUUUCAGGUCUUGACGGGCAACGCAAAUUGAAUGGCCACGGCACCAAAUGGCAGAUUGGGCCUCCUCCAUAGAGCAUGAGGAGUCAAGUUCAAGUUCAUCUAUACUGUCGGGGAAAGAAAAAUGACAUUUAGUAAUGAGGUUAGUGUUGCAGCUAGGCAUUCUCCUCAGGGGAAAAAGGGUGUGGAAAAUGACGGUGAAGUGGCGUUUGACCCUAUAAAAUUGGCUACAGACGACCAUUUUUGCGAAAUGGAUAGGCUACAGACUGAUGUUGCAGUUACCUCUACAAUUUUUAGUUGUGUCAGUAUUGACAAUAUUCAUGCAAACAGUAGAGGACUUGAUGCUGGAAGUUCAGACGAUAUUUAGUAGGGCAGAAAGUUUUGCAUACUAAAGAAAAAAGAUACACAAUCAUGCAAUUGAGAUUAUUAUACAUUCUUGAAAGUUUGCUGAAGAAGAGAAGAAAACACAUGUGUAAACAGAGCAAAGGAGUAUCAUUAGUAGCUAUGGACAUUGAACAUAUUUACUCAACCUUUGCUAGUGUACUUCGAACCCAAGUUUGAACGUGAAAUUGAAGAUAGUGAAGAUCUAGAGAAGUUUGAGACUUCAACUGAUGCACCUCCCAUCUAGACAAUUGUUGACCACCAUUUUUUUUAUCAACUUGUCAUUGUAUCAUAUAAAAUGUUAUGUGUUUGAAAAUGAAACUAUGCACUUUAUUGUCUUCCCAACUGUUUAGAAUGACUUUCAUAUUGUGAAUAUAAAAUUGGUGUACUUUUGAAUUGUUUCCAGAUUGUGAAAAUAAAGGUGAUAUAUUUUUGAA